rnacentral:rRNA from 1 species
CAACCUGCCGACAACACUGGGAUAGCCUUUCGAAAGAAAGAUUAAUACCGGAUGGCAUAAUUAUUCCGCAUGGGAUAAUUAUUAAGGAAUUUCGGUUGUCGAUGGGGAUGCGUUCCAUAGGCAGUUGGCGGGGUAACGGCCCACCAAACCUACGAUGGAUAGGGGUUCCGAGAGGAAGGUCCCCCACAUUGGAACUGAGACACGGUCCAAACUCCUACGGGAGGCAGCAGUGAGGAAUAUUGGUCAAUGGACGAGAGUCUGAACCAGCCAAGUAGCGUGAAGGAUGACUGCCCUAUGGGUUGUAAACUUCUUUUAUACGGGAAUAAAGUGAGCCACGUGUGGCUUUUUGUAUGUACCGUAUGAAUAAGGAUCGGCUAACUCCGUGCCAGCAGCCGCGGUAAUACGGAGGAUCCGAGCGUUAUCCGGAUUUAUUGGGUUUAAAGGGAGCGUAGGCGGGUUGUUAAGUCAGUUGUGAAAGUUUGCGGCUCAACCGUAAAAUUGCAGUUGAUACUGGCGACCUUGAGUGCAACAGAGGUAGGCGGAAUUCGUGGUGUAGCGGUGAAAUGCUUAGAUAUCACGAAGAACUCCGAUUG